CUUGCUUUAUAAGUGCCAUUUCAUUCACUCCUACCUUAUGCCAUAGGAAAUCUCAUUUUACAGAGAUUUCAUUAUACAACUUCCCGUAGGUCACACAACUGUUGAAUGGCCCAGCCAGGGUUCUGAUCUGAGUCGUCCGACUUUAGAAACCCUGCUUUUACCAGCACACUAUCCGUGGAAUAGUAUUUGACAAACACGUAUUGAGUGUCUAAUAUAGAUUUCAGUCAUUGUGCUAGACAGUGGAAGUCCAGCAGUAAACCAAUCCAUUACAAUUCCUAUCCUCAUGGAGCUUACCUGCUAGGAGGGGGAGGCAGACAACAAACUGAAAUUCUUCAUCAGUUAGUGAUAAGUUCUAUGCAGAGAAUUAAAAUAAGGUAUUGUAAAGGAGAGUGACUCACUGGGUAUUUUAGAUUGGCUACGGGAACCAUCUCUAAUGAUGUCCCUCAGUGAUAUUUAAGCUGAGACCCGAAUAACUGAAAGGAGUUAGCCAUGAGAAGAUCUGAGGAGGAGCAACCCAAACGGAGGGAAAGCAGGUGCAAAGCCCCUAAGGCAGGAAGAAAGUCAGUGUUUUGAAGCAGCAAAAAAGAAAACCAGAGUGACUGGAGCAUGAUGACUGAGGGAAGAAUGGAGGGGAUUGUACCGGAGUGAGAACUGAUCGUGUGGAAACUUCCAGGCUUUGGUAAGGAAGAGCACAGCGGAGAGAGAGGAGACAUAAAAUCUGAAGCAGGGUCCAGGCUCUGAGCUGUCAGUGCAGAGCCAGACACAGGGCUCGAACCCAUGAACUGUGAUACGACCUGAGCCAAGGUUGGUCACUUAACCGACCGAACCACCCAGAAAGCUGAAAAAAAUCAAGAAAUGGCUGUACAAGCAUGUUACUGAGAAACAAGGAGGUACAUACCAGUAGAAAUGGCUGAAAGACUUGAAAACGAUUAAAUCUGAGAAGCGGGUCCAGAGUGUAAUGAGCUCAACCUAACAAAACCGCUGCCUCUCAUAUGACAUGAGGAUUAAAUGCAGUCUGCUGCAUUGUACGCAAGGAGCAUCCUGCUACAUGAAAACUAGACCUGGGAGUGAGUCACUCAGACCUUGUAGAACAAAGGCAAUACCCUUGGAAGGCAGAGCAACCAAACAGAAAGAGCCUGGAUUAUCCUGGAUCAUCUAGGUCCUCUGUGGACUGAUUAUGUCUAGAUGCUUAUAUAAUCAAGAGAUAACCUCCCUUUUAGGUUCAGCCAUUGUUGUUUGGGUCUCUUUUGAAGCACUUAAACUGAUAUCCUAAUGAAUGAGCGGUGUGUGUGAGGGAGAAAGGAACCAGGUACUUCUGCAAAGAGAUUUCUGGAUGGGAUGGCAUUGACUGAGAUGGACAGUCCAAGUCACGAUGGGUGGUUUGAGGGGACAUGUUGUUUUUGAGGUGGGCCUAGGGGGAAACUGCCCAGUUCCUCUGGAGCCCAGGAGAGAAGUUGGAAAUAUUAGUUUGGAAAUUGCACGUGUAUAUACAAUUACAAUUACUGUAACCAUGGGGAAAGUGUGCUCAUCCUGGGAAGACACGUAGAUACAGAAAAAAAGGAUUCUAUUAGCCAAGUGUAUCAGGAAAUGGUGAGGAUACUGAUACUCAUGCCUAUUAUGACCACUGACAACACACUUUUCCACGUGCCAGGCAAGCCCUGAGCUAAACACUUCAAGCGGGUCAUUUUUAUCCUCAGGAUAACCCCUUUGGUGGAUUUUAUUAGUCCAAUUUACUGAUGAGAAAACCAAGGCUUAGAAGGCAGAGCUGGGAUUUGAACCCAUGUCCGAUCAACUUCAAAGUCUGUGUUUCUAACCGUUACUCCAUAAAUCUAAACAUAGUUUUUUUAAACUUAUGUUUGCAGGUAUAUAGAGUUGUCAAAAUUCAUCAUACUGUAGACUUCAGGUGCAUGCAUUUUAUUGUAUAUAAAUUAUAAGUCAAUAAAGCUGACUUUUAAAAGUAGAAAUGUGAUUUUAGAGCUUGCAUUGUGCCUGCCAUCAGGGGUCAAUAGCCAAUGGUUAACAAAAAAAUAAUGUAAACUUCAAGUGCCA